GGAGCCCUUAGGAAGGUUACCCUAAUGUUCGACUAGCCCUUCCUGAGUGCCUGAGGCUGGAGACAGCAGCCACUUCUGCCUCACCAGCUACUCUCCGUUUAUAACCCCUUCACUUGAAGUACCAGAGUUCAGAGGGAAUCAGUUAUGAACCAAGAGGGAAAGCAUGGUUGGAAAGAAAAGCUCAGCGUCUCACGCUCUCAUCAAUUCUUUCAAAAACUGAGUUAAGGGUGCUGCCAAGCCCUUGCCUUUGCUACCUCAGUGUUUCUACUUGUUAAAGGAUGAUGAAGAUGCUAGUAACUCUGGGAACAAACAUGGAAUGCGUAUCAACCGGCCACUAAAUAAAACAGAUUUCAGGUGCGAAUAGAAACAAAAAACUGGGGAAGUACGAAGAGUUUUAAGGAUAAAAAAAAACCUAAAAAGAUAAUCCUUUUAAGAAGCUGAUUUUUUUUCUUAGUCAUUCCAGAAGUAAGAGGGACAGGGUAAUACCGCCAAUGCUUAACUCCAAAAUAGAUAAAAGAUUUUUUUAAAAAGAGAGAGGCUGCUCUAUUGAGGAAAAAAGCCCUGAAAUAACCUAUCACUGGUGUUCAGAAGUCACAAGGUCAUCAUUCAUCUUUAUAAAAGGAGACACUGAACAAAGAUGAAUAAGGUUAUGGUCGAAGAAGAAGGCAAUGGAGAAGGCGAUGGCACCCCACUCCAGUACUCUUGCCUGGAAAAUCCCAUGAACCGAGGAGCCUGGUGGGCUGCAGUCCAUGGGGUCUCGAAGAGUUGGACACGACUGAAGCAACUUAGCAGCAGCAGCAGCAGCAGCUUAUAGUAAUGCUCAACUAAAGUGAGAAGAAAGCUCUGGCAAAAAAACUUUCUUCCUCUUUCUCCUCAACAUCAGUCUCAACAGUCUUUGGGUAACUGAGACUCAUGUUUCAAAGAGCAUGGGGCCGAUCUUAGAUUGGUUGUGAUUCUUCUCAUUAUCACAGACAGUAAUUGUGCCUCUCCUUUGAAAUAAUUCAUGCCCAGGCCUGAUGAGUUUGCCCUCUUUACAUAUUCAUAGCUUUUUGUUGAUUUAUUGUAUGUAGCUGUAUCUUUUCCAGUUUAAAAAGAUCAUUUUCAGAAAGAUAAGCAGUGGUUUCUUAAUGAUGAUAUUUGAUUAACCCCAAUAAAUGAUUCAGCAAAGUGUUGGCUUUUAAAGAU
rnacentral:lncRNA from 1 species